rnacentral:rRNA from 1 species
AACAGGUCUUCGGAUGCUGACGAGUGGCGAACGGGUGAGUAAUGCAUCGGAACGUGCCCAGAGGUGGGGGAUAACGCAGCGAAAGCUGUGCUAAUACGCAUGUGAUCUGAGGAUGAAAGCGGGGGACCAAGCAGCAAUGUUUGGCCUCGCGCCUCUGGAGCGGCCGAUGUCAGAUUAGGUAGUUGGUGGGGUAAAGGCCUACCAAGCCGACGAUCUGUAGCUGGUCUGAGAGGACGACCAGCCACACUGGGACUGAGACACGGCCCAGACUCCUACGGGAGGCAGCAGUGGGGAAUUUUGGACAAUGGGCGCAAGCCUUGAUCCAGCAAUGCCGCGUGCGGGAAGAAGGCCUUCGGGUUGUAAACCGCUUUUGUACGGAACGAAAAGGCUCUUGGCUAAUACCUGGGGCUGAUGACGGUACCGUAAGAAUAAGCACCGGCUAACUACGUG